UCCCCUCUCAACUGGAGGAUGCCAUUCCUCUUUCUGCUCUAACCAUCCGCACCACAGAAUUCCGGGAGAGACCCUCUGACGCCCAUGUUAUCUGGCUGCUUCUCAUUAUGGUCUGGCUCAGAUAGAGUGUGUCCCCUCAUCUCCUCUCCUCUCCUAAUUUGGCUUCAAAAUUCUUGGGCCCAGAAUUGCCAAGUUUAAAAGGCAACACGAGACUUCAGACCAUCAUCUGGGCUCCUUCUCGGCUCUGCCAUUCUAAAGUCCAUUUGCUCCCAGGUGUGGCAUUCAAUGCUCUGUUGCUGAAGCCCUUGUAGCCCUUGGAUUCUCUUGUUGCGUGACUUCUGCUGAAGAAUGGAAAGGGCCAAGUGGAGGAUCAGAGUGACUUUGCUCCCAGACAGCAGAGAGCUCCUCCCGCAUCUCCGCCUCCAGAUCUCAGGUUCCCUCCAAGUCCUGCUCCUGCGUUCCUGCGCCCAGGAAGGCCUUUCCCAAGGCCUCUCCCGGCCUCCCAAUGAGGGUGGAGUGCUCACCUCUGGGCUGCCCAAUGUCCGGGUUACUCCGCGGCUAUCAUCUCCUCGAGAGGCGGAGCGGCUUUGUUUGUCCCUGUAGACCCGGACGAGGAAGCUAAGGCCACGGACAGUUAGGGCUUGCCUUGGAUCAUCCGGGUAGGAAGCGCCAGCAAGGCUCUGGCCCAGGUCCUGGCUCCGAAGUCGGUGCUCCGUCAACUACAGGACUCACGACGAGGUGGGUAGGUGGAAAUGAAGACGCGCGGCUGCUGCAUUCAGGGCAGGCAGAGAUGAGAGUUCUGGGCAUGCGGCGGCCACCGGGGGCGGCUUGCUGGGGCGGCUCAGAGGGCGGCUGUGGAUCAUCACGUUCGCAGAGAGCUGCGGCUCCCACCUCAUCCUGCCUAGACUUUUCUACAUCAUUUGUUUCUGCAACAAAGGCGGGGGAGAAGAGGAACGCACCGCGGCUUGUUGGAAGACCAAGGGCACCGAGAGAGCCCAGAGCUCUGGUGAGCGCCCUGGCAAGCACUGCGGCAGAGGGCUAAGGUGACACCUGGGAGCCGUUGCCUCACCACCGAGGGGGUUCGGCUGGCUUGACCGAGC
rnacentral:lncRNA from 1 species